UAUAACCAAAAAAGAAGUUUGAAAAUUCCUACUGUUACUAUUGAAAAGGCUAUAACUUCCGUUGAUUUCGCUCAUCACUCAUUCCUAUACUCUGACUGUUAAGCUCUUAUUUUCCUUGUCCACCUUCCGCAAUUGCCGCAGAAAAGAGUUUCGACGAGGGAGAUCAGCUAGUGACUGUGUGAACUGAGUUCUUGAUUCUUGAAUAUAUAAAAGUAAUAUUUCAAAUUUCCAUUGCUACUUCAGAAUUGAACUUGACCCACGUCAAGAUUUAGUUAAAUGCCGUCUGGGUUGGUCUUGUUUUGUAGUCAGGUGUCACUGUAAUAUAUACAGAGACAGAUUAGAGUUAAUGAGUUCAAAAUGGAUGCAACAUAAUACUCAUAUACGUACAUUGUUUUUGGAUACGUAUACAUAGCUCGCUCGAGUGGAAGCUGUUGUUUCGGCUGCAAAUGGCUAUAUUGACGAUCUGUUUGAUAGUGUAGAGUCAUUUACAAUUAUAUUGUCCUUCAUGGGUUGUGUGGCCUCGAAACAGACCGUGUCGGUAACCCCUGCAUGUGAUCAAUAUUCAGGGACUUUCAGAGAAAAUGACGACAGUAAAAGCCGUGUCGGCAGUGAUGCAUUGGUACCUGAAUUUGAUUUGAAGAGAGGAGAAUUAUCAGGACUAAGUGGAGGCGAGAGGGGGUUAAACGAGUCGGGCAAGGAAAAUUCCAAUGGUGAUCAAUCAGUGAGUUUGAUGAAGUAUGUGGAAGGAGAGCAAGCUGCUGCAGGUUGGCCUGUAUGGCUUAGUACUGUUGCAGCUGAAGCCAUUCAUGGCUGGCUGCCUCUUAAACCUGAGUCGUUUCAGAAAUUGGAUAAGAUAGGUCAGGGUACAUAUAGCAGCGUAUUCAGAGCACGCGAUCUGGAAAGUGGAAGGACAGUUGCACUGAAGAAAGUGCGAUUUUAUAACUUUGAGCCAGAAAGUGUUAGAUUUAUGGCACGAGAAAUUUUGAUUCUUCGUAGGCUUGACCAUCCCAAUAUAAUGAAGUUAGAGGGGAUAAUUACCUCCAGAUUAUCUUCUAGCAUAUAUCUUGUGUUUGAGUACAUGGAGCAUGAUAUUUCAGGACUCCUGUCCUGUCCUGAAGUCGAGUUCAAUGAAUCACAGGUUAAAUGCUUAAUGAAACAGUUGCUAUCUGGACUUGACCAUUGUCAUUCUCGAGGUAUAAUGCAUCGGGAUAUCAAAGGUGCAAACCUUCUUGUAAAUAAUGAGGGAAUUCUAAAGGUUGCAGACUUUGGAUUGGCGAACUUCUCUGACCUUGGAACAAAGCAACCACUAACCAGUCGAGUUGUCACUUUAUGGUAUCGACCUCCAGAACUUUUGUUGGGAGCCACAGAUUAUGGAGCUUCUGUGGAUCUCUGGAGUGUUGGAUGUGUCUUUGCGGAAAUUCUUACUGGUAAACCAAUUCUUCAGGGGAGAACUGAGGUUGAACAGCUGCAUAAAGUUUUUAAACUUUGUGGAUCUCCACCAGAUGAUUACUGGAAGAGAUCUAAACUUCCUCACGCGACUAUAUUUAAACCACAACAUCCUUAUGAGAGCUGUCUUUGGAACACCUUUAAAGAUUUACCAAAAAGUGCAGUCUCACUCAUAGAAACUCUUCUUUCUGUGGAGCCACACAAACGUGGGAACGCUUCUUCUGCCCUUGCAUCUCAGUACUUCAAGACAAAGCCUCAUGCUUGUGAUCCUUCAAGCCUGCCAAAGUACCCACCAAGCAAAGAGAUAGAUGCCACAUAUCAUGAAGAUGCAAAAAGGAAGAAGCCAUGUGGAAUAGUCCGUGUACCUGAUCCAACAAGAAAGUUAACUAGAAAGCAGAAUGGCCUCCGUAAACUAGCACCAGAAGAGAAUUUGCCCAUCCAAAAUAAAGGUACUCAUAUAAGUGACAGCAAUAAUGUAACUGCUCAAGAAGAAAGAGAUACGAUUACAAGUCUUGAGCGACCUAAGCCAUCAGUUGAUAUGAUGGUAAAGACUUUUCAUGUCAAGAAUGCAUCUCAAGGUGAUGUCCCCUUUUCAGGUCCACUUCAAAUUUCAGGAUCAAGUGGUUUUGCAUGGGCAAAAAGAAGGUUCGAUGAUUCAUCAGUAAGAUCACGAAGGAGAACUAGUUCGAGAAGCCUUAUUUUUGAACCUUCAAUUGCAUUGCAUGUGAAAAAUAACAUGGAGCCAAAAGGACAAGACAACUAUGAACUUAUCGAUGCAAAGCAGACAAAUUAUAUGGACCAGGAUACCUAUGAAUCCACCAAGCAUGCAAUUCGUCAAAGUUGGAGCCAAUUAGAGCGGCCAGAUUCCUUUGAUGCUUCUGAUGGUUACCAUUCACAAGAACUGUCACUGACACAAUAUCUAAAAGAGGAAACUGCUAUCAAGAGAAUCAAUUUGGUACAAGAUCAAGGGGAUAAAGUCGAAUUUUCUGGACCAUUGCUAUCUCAAACACAAACAGUUGAAGAGCUCCUAGAGAAACAUGAGCGUCAGAUCCGCCAGGCUGUUCGACAAUCAUUGUUCCAAAGAGGAUUAAAAGUUCACCAAAUGUUUGCAACAUAGGAAAUCAAAGAUCAAUUAUCUACCCCUGUAAAUUCGUAAGGGAAAUCCUUACUCAAGCUCAAGAGAAAAAGGCAUGAACUCCAUCUUCAAUAUGGAGCUCUUCAUCUCAAUUCCCUGCAAAGGAGGGUCAUGCGGCUUUCUUCUACGCCAGAUAUUGCAAUGGAUUCCUUUAACGGAUACUGCAAUAUUUUUUAUGCCGGAGAAGAUUCGAGGGCCAGGGUUUUUAUUCAGUCUCUAUUUUUAGUUUUAAUACAAUAUAUACAAUAUUUUACUUGGCCAUAAAACACUAUCUCCGGCGAACUUUCUUCUCUUUUUGCUAUUUAGUCGCAUACAAUGAUAAAUAAUACAUUGUAUUUUGUACAAAUGCACUCAAAUACAUUGUAUUUUUGCAUAAAAAUAUAUAUUUUUGUUUGUA